rnacentral:tRNA from 1 species
ACCUGGGUGGCUCAGUUGGUUAAGCAUCUGACUUUGGCUCACAUCAUGAUCUUGUGGCUUGUGAGUUCCAGCCCCGCCUCGGGUU